rnacentral:tRNA from 2 species
GGGCCCUUAGAUCAGUUGGUAGAUCGCCUGCCUUGCACGCAGGAGGCCGGGGGUUCGAGUCCCCCAGGGUCCA